AUCUCUAUCCUUCUUACCCAAUUUCCAGAUUGAUUAUCGUUUUUUUUAUUUCCCGGCUUAUUAGUAUUAGAUAUAAAUAUACCU
rnacentral:tRNA from 1 species